UACGUAGGGGGCAAGCGUUGUCCGGAGUUACUGGGCGUAAAGCGCACGCAGGCGGUCUCUUAAGUUUGGAGUGACAGUUGGUGGCUUAACUGCCAAAGUGCUUCGAAAACUGAGAGACUUGAGGGCUUCAGAGGGACACGGAAUUCCGGGUGGAGUGGUGAAAUGCGUAGAGAUCCGGAGGAACACCAAAGGCGAAGGCAGUGUCCUGGCGCGUAACUGACGCUGAGGUGCGAAAGCCAGGGGAGCGAACGGG
rnacentral:rRNA from 1 species